AGCACCUACUCUCUUUUUGAAUGCAUACUGCAGCUUCUCAUGGUAACAGAAGGGCAGGCUCAUUAACACCAUGCCAUAAAACCUUCAGAGAAGGAUUACUUCACUUUUUUCCCCCCUCUGUUUUAAUGUGGCUGUCUGGAAGAAGUGUCUGCACUAAUGAAGCCUGCUGAACAAGAGAAGCCUUACAAAAGCUGGCUGCCUUUGCAAGAGUCCCGAGCAGCUGCCACCAGCUCCAGGAGGCACCCUGAGCUUGCUCCAAGCAGAAUUAGUGAUGGAAGUGGUUCGUGCUUAGUCGUUCCAGAUGCUCUAUCAGCCAACCCUAGGAACUGGG
ensembl:lncRNA